ACCCAGGUGGCUCAGUGGUAGAGCGUCUGCCUUUGGCUCAGAGCGUGACCCCGGGGUCCCGGGAUCAAGUCCCGCAUGGGGU
rnacentral:tRNA from 1 species